rnacentral:rRNA from 1 species
CAGCCGCCACGGUAAUACGAAGGGGGCUAGCGUUGUUCGGAUUUACUGGGCGUAAAGGGCGCGUAGGUGGUUAUGUAAGUGAGAUGUGAAAUCCCCGGGCUCAACCUGGGAACUGCAUCUUAUACUGCGUAGCUGGAGUGCAGUAGAGGGUUGUGGAAUUUCCGGUGUAGCGGUGAAAUGCGUAGAUAUCGGAAGGAACACCAGUGGCGAAGGCGGCUACCUGGACUGACACUGACACUGAGGCGCGAAAGCGUGGGGAGCAAACAGGAUUAGAUACCCCUGUAGUCCCUGUCUCUUAUAC